rnacentral:rRNA from 1 species
UAGAGUUUGAUCCUGGCUCAGGAUGAACGCUGGCGGCAUGCCUAAGACAUGCAAGUCGAACGAAGUGAACUAAUGAAGAUGGAGUGCUUGCACAAAGUCAGAUUUAAAUUCACUUAGUGGCAGACGGGUGAGUAACACGUGGGUAAUCUACCCCAAAGACUGGGACAACAGUUAGAAAUGACUGCUAAUACCGGAUGAUUCAUAUUUAGAUAACUAGAUAUGCUAAAAGGAGCCUUUAAAGCUUCACUUUGGGAUGAGCUUGCGGCGCAUUAGUUAGUUGGUGGGGUAAUGGCCUACCAAGACUACGAUGCGUAUCCGAGCUGAGAGGCUGAACGGACACAUUGGGACUGAGACACGGCCCAAACUCCUACGGGGGACAGCAGUUAGGAAUAUUCGUCAAUGGGGGAAACCCUGAACGAGCAAUGCCGCGUGAGUGAUGAAGGUCUUAUUGAUCGUAAAACUCUGUUGUAAGAGACGAAACCACAGUAUAGGAAAUGAUACUGUGCUGACGGUAUCUUACCAGAAAGCCCCGGCUAACUACGUGCCAGCAGCCGCGGUAAUA